UAAUACGUAGGGGGCGAGCGUUGUCCGGAUUUAUUGGGCGUAAAGAGCUCGUAGGCGGUUUGGUAAGUCGGGUGUGAAAACCCCAGGCUCAACCUGGGGACGCCACCUGAUACUGCUAUGACUUGAGUCUGGUAGGGGACCACGGAAUUCCUGGUGUAGCGGUGAAAUGCGCAGAUAUCAGGAGGAACACCGGUGGCGAAGGCGGUGGUCUGGGCCAGUACUGACGCUGAGGAGCGAAAGCGUGGGUAGCAAACAGGAUUAGAUACCCUGGUAGUCCACGCCGUAAACGUUGGGCACUAGGUGUGGGGGGACGUCAACUCCUUCCGUGCCGCAGCUAACGCAGUAAGUGCCCCGCCUGGGGAGUACGGCCGCAAGGCUA
rnacentral:rRNA from 1 species